UAAGCAGGAGUACGGUAAAUGUACGGUAAAUGUGAAAAAACUCCUGUUAAAUUAUGUUCUCCUAGUCAAAAAUCGAAUUUUUGGCCAAAAGUAUCGAUCUAUUGUUCGAACAGUCGGAAAUUUCCAAGAAUUUGACGUCAUUUCCAAGAAAUUUAAAAAUUCUAAGAACCGGGCCCCAUUUCCAAGAAUUUUAGGGAUUCCGAGAAUUUGACGUCAUUUCUUGGAAAAAUUUUUCGAUCGACCUCCUAUCGUAUCAUGUUCUCCUAAUACAAAGUGGAAUUUUUGGACAAAAAUUUUUCUAUCGCUCAGGGAAUUUCGAUCUUAGCCUUUUUUCUUGAAUAUCUCGCUUAUUCUUCAGAAUAUUAAAAAAUGCUUGGAAUAAAAAUUGAAUGGCUUCGAAAGGGCUACAUUCUGGCGAUCUCAGUUUUUUCGUAGGUAGACCCAUAAAAAAGUUAUCAACGUCAAUUGUAUUUGCUUAAAUGUAAUGGUAUAUUUUUUAAUGCAUCAAUCGAUGCAUCUAUGUAUUCUCUAUAAAAAAGUAUUAGGCCAUAUAUAGCGAAAAACUAUUAGUUUAAGAGAUAUUUAAAAAAAUUUAAACUGUAAUACCUCCUAUCGUAUCAUGUUCUCCUAAUACAAAAUCGAAUUUUUCGACAAAAAUUUUUCUAUCCCUCAGGGAAUUUUGAUCUUAACGUUUUUUCUUGAAUAUCUCGCUUAUUCUUCAGAAUAUUAAAAAAUGCUUGGAAUAAAAGUUGAAUGGCUUCGAAAGGACUACAUUCUGGUGACCUCAGUUUUUUCGUAGGUCGAUCCAUAAAAAAGUUAUCAACGUCAAUUGUAUUUGCUUAAAUGUAAUGGUAUAUUUUUUAAUGCAUCAAUCGAUGCACCUAUGUAUUCUCUAUAAAAAAGUAUUAGGCCAUAUAUAGCGAAAAACGAUUAGUUUAAGAGAUAUUUAAAAAAAUUUAAACUAUAAGACCUCCUAUCGUAUCAUGUUCUCCUAAUACAAAGUGGAAUUUUUGGACAAAAAUUUUUCUAUCGCUCAGGGAAUUUCGAUCUUAGCCUUUUUUCUUGAAUAUCUCGCUUAUUCUUCAGAAUAUUAAAAAAUGCUUGGAAUAAAAGUUGAAUGGCUUCGAAAGGGCUACAUUCUGGCGACCUCAGUUUUUUCGUAGGUAGACCCAUAAAAAAGUUAUCAACGUCAAUUGUAUUUGUUUAAAUGGAAUCGUAUAAUUUUUAAUGCAUCGAUCGAUGUAUCUUAGUAUUCUCCAUAAAAAAGCUUUAAGGCAUAUAUACUAAAAAACCAUUAAUUUAAAAGAUAUUUAUUUAAAUCGAAACUAUAAGUUUUUUGCUAUGUAUGCUUUAAUACUUUUUUACAGAGAAUGCAAAGAUACACCAACUGGAAUGUUAAAAAGUGUACACUUCUAUUUAAACAAACAACAUUCCCUCUUAUAAAUUCUUUACGCUUCUAUAUAUAAAAAAAUAAAUAACGGAGGGAUAUUCCUCCCACGAAAUGCUUCAACUUUUAUUUGAAACAUUUUUUAAUAUUCCCAAAAACAAGCGAGAUAUACCAAAUAAUAUUAACCGGACACCGGGUGCAUUAUUUUAUGCAAUUGGUCAUUAAAAAUAAUCGAUUCAUACACAAUAAUAAAAAUAAAGUGCUCAAAGUACUUUCGAAUUUUUAAAAAAUUUAAAAAAAUGAUAAAAAACACGAGGAGAUAUGUGUACAAGCAGUAAAAAUCUAAAUAUAUAUAUAAAUUGGGAAAAAGAAUGCUUUAAGGCUUUAAAAAAAUGGCUACGAUAAGAGGAAUGGUAAAAAAGUAAGCAGGAGUACGGUAAAUGUACGGUAAAUGUGAAAAAACUCCUGUUAAAUUAUGUUCUCCUAGUCAAAAAUCGAAUUUUUGGCCAAAAGUAUCGAUCUAUUGUUCGAACAGUCGGAAAUUUCCAAGAAUUUGACGUCAUUUCCAAGAAAUUUAAAAAUUCUAAGAACCGGGCCCCAUUUCCAAGAAUUUUAGGGAUUCCGAGAAUUUGACGUCAUUUCUUGGAAAAAUUUUUCGAUCGACCUCCUAUCGUAUCAUGUUCUCCUAAUACAAAGUGGAAUUUUUGGACAAAAAUUUUUCUAUCGCUCAGGGAAUUUCGAUCUUAGCCUUUUUUCUCGAAUAUCUCGCUUAUUCUUCAGAAUAUUAAAAAAUGCUUGGAAUAAAAAUUGAAUGGCUUCGAAAGGGCUACAUUCUGGCGAUCUCAGUUUUUUCGUAGGUAGAACCAUAAAAAAGUUAUCAACGUCAAUUGUAUUUGCUUAAAUGUAAUGGUAUAUUUUUUAAUGCAUCAAUCGAUGCAUCUAUGUAUUCUCUAUAAAAAAGUAUUAGGCCAUAUAUAGCGAAAAACUAUUAGUUUAAGAGAUAUUUAAAAAAAUUUAAACUGUAAUACCUCCUAUCGUAUCAUGUUCUCCUAAUACAAAAUCGAAUUUUUCGACAAAAAUUUUUCUAUCCCUCAGGGAAUUUUGAUCUUAACGUUUUUUCUUGAAUAUCUCGCUUAUUCUUCAGAAUAUUAAAAAAUGCUUGGAACAAAAGUUGAAUGGCUUCGAAAGGACUACACUCUGGUGACCUCAGUUUUUUCGUAGGUCGAUCCAUAAAAAAGUUAUCAACGUCAAUUGUAUUUGCUUAAAUGUAAUGGUAUAUUUUUUAAUGCAUCAAUCGAUGCAUCUAUGUAUUCUCUAUAAAAAAGUAUUAGGCCAUAUAUAGCGAAAAAUGAUUAGUUUAAGAGAUAUUUAAAAAAAUUUAAACUAUAAGACCUCCUAUCGUAUCAUGUUCUCCUAAUACAAAACGAAUUUUUGACAAAAAUUUUGGACAAAAACGUCAAUUGUAUUUGUUUAAAUGUAAUGGUAUAUUUUUUAAUGCAUCAAUCGAUGUAUCAUAGUAUUCUCCAUAAAAAAGCUUUAAGGCAUAUAUACUAAAAAACCAUUAAUUUAAAAGAUAUUUAUUUAAAUCGAAACUAUAAGUUUUUUGCUAUGUAUGCUUUAAUACUUUUUUACAGAGAAUGCAAAGAUACACCAACUGGAAUGUUAAAAAUUAUGGUUGUAUUUAUAAAAAUAAUACUCUUAUAAAUCCUUGCCGCUUCUGUGAGUAAAAAAUUCCUAGCAAAGAUAUGUGUCUCCCUCGAAAUCAUUCAACUUUUACUUGAAACACUUUUUAACAUUUUUACAAAUAAGUGAUAAGUCGUAAGGAUGAUGUUAUCAAUGUGUACGUGUGCUUUUUUAUUAAAAGAAGAAAUGUAGUAUAUAAUGUUCAGUAUUAUGAACAAUAACUGUUUUUAUUGUAUGGAGGAUAAAAGCAAAACAGUAAUAUAUAGUUUUUGAUAUGUAACGAUUUUUAAAAUUUUAUUAAUAUAUGAAAAUUGUAGCUGUAAAAAGUACGUAUAUAUAUGGUGAGUGUAAGAUAUAUCUAUAUAACUUUCUAUUAUAUUAUGUUCUCCUAAUAUAAAGUCGUAUUUCUAAUACAAAAAUUUCUUUAAUUUAUCCUUUUUUUUUAAUUUUAGUAUUCGUUGAAAGAAUUUGGGAGAUUCCAAAAAAAUUGAAACCAUCCUCAAGAAAUUCUUAUCAACUUAGAAGAAUUAAGUAAUUUGUGCCGAAGUGAGAAAAUGUGUUUUUAAAGUUGAUAUAUUUUAAUAAAUUUUUGUGCUGCGAAAAUCAGUAUUUAUAAAUAUAAGGUAAGUAAAUAUAAUUACUUCUAGAAUUAAGAAAACAGUUUAAAAAUUUUUAGAAUCACAAACAACUGUAGCUAUAAAAAGGUAAGUAAUUAAAAGGUAAGUAUAGGUAAGUAUAUUUAGAAUUAAGUAAACUGUUGAAAAACAUUAAAUAUUAUAAAAAGAAGCUGUAAAAAGGUAAGUAAAUGGAAGGUAAGUAAAGGUAAGUAAAGGUAAGUAUUUUACAAAUAAUUUUUGAAAAUUUUCAAAAAUUUUUGUACAUAAACAUUGCAAAUGUAAAUAAACAGACCGAAAAUGUAAAUAAACAUUGAAAAUGUAAAUGAACAGAUCAAUGUUUAUAAACAAACCGAAAUUUUAUGUAAAUAAACAUUGGAAACGUAAAUAAACAAAUCCAGAACGUAAAUAAACAUUGAAAAUGUAAAUAAACAUUCCAAUGUUUAUAAACAAACCGAAAUUUCAUGUAAAUAAACAUUGGAAACGUAAAUAAACAAAGCAAGAAUGUAAAUAAACAUUGAAAAUGUAAAUAAACAGUCCAAUGUUUAUAAACAAACCGAAAUUUUAUGUAAAUAAACAUUGGAAACGUAAAUAAACAAAUCCAGAAUGUAAAUAAACAUUGAAAAUGUAAAUAAACAGUCCAAUGUUUAUAAACAAACCGAAAUUUCAUGUAAAUAAACAUUGGAAAUGUAAAUAAACAAAGCCAGAAUGUAAAUAAACAUUGAAAAUGUAAAUAAACAGUCCAAUGUUUAUAAACAAACCGAAAUUUUAUGUAAAUAAACAUUGGAAAUGUAAAUAAACAAAGCCAGAAUGUAAAUAAACAUUGAAAAUGUAAAUAAACAAACCCAGAAUGUAAAUAAACAUUGAAAAUGUAAAUAAACACUCCAAUGUUUACAAACAAACCGAAAUUUUAUGUAAAUAAACAUUGAAAACGUAAAUAAACAAAUCCAGAAUGUAAAUAAACAUUGAAAAUGUAAAUAAACAUUCCAAUGUUUAUAAACAAACCGAAAUUUUAUGUAAAUAAACAUUGGAAAUGUAAAUAAACAAACCGAGAAUGUAAAUAAACAUUGAAAAUGUAAAUAAACAGUCCAAUGUUUAUAAACAAACCGAAAAUUUAUGUAAAUAAACAUUGAAAAUGUAAAUAAACAAACCGAAAAUGUAAAUAAACAUUGGAAACGUAAAUAAACAAACCCAGAAUGUAAAUAAA